rnacentral:rRNA from 1 species
UACGUAGGGACCAAGCGUUGUUCGGAUUUACUGGGCGUAAAGGGCGCGUAGGCGGCAUAUUAAGUCAGCUGUGAAAUCUCCGAGCUUAACUCGGAACUGUCAGCUGAUACUGAUGUGCUAGAGUGCAGAAGGGGCAAUCGGAAUUCUUGGUGUAGCGGUGAAAUGCGUAGAUAUCAAGAGGAACACCUGAGGUGAAGACGGGUUGCUGGGCUGACACUGACGCUGAUAGCGCGAAAGCCAGGGGAGCAAACAGG